GUGUCAGCAGCCGCGGUAAUACGUAGGGUGCGAGCGUUAAUCGGAAUUACUGGGCGUAAAGAGUGCGUAGGCGGUCCCGCAAGUCCGCUGUGAAAGCCCCGGGCUUAACCUGGGAAUGGCAGUGGAAACUAUGGGACUUGAAUCUGGCAGAGGGGGGUGGAAUGCCACGUGUAGCAGUGAAAUGCGUAGAGAUGUGGCGGAACACCGAUGGCGAAGGCAGCCCCCUGGGCUGAGAUUGACGCUCAGGCACGAAAGCGUGGGGAGCAAACAGGAUUAGAAACCCUCGUAGUCC
rnacentral:rRNA from 1 species